rnacentral:rRNA from 1 species
AGGGCGUUCGGUGGAUGCCUGGGCAUCAAGGGCCGAAGAAGGACGUGGCAGUCUGCGAUAAGCCUCGGGGAGUUGGCAAGCGAGCGGUGAUCCGGGGGUGUCCGAAUGGGGGAACCUGGCCGGGGUUGUGCCUGGUCGCCCGUGUGUGAAGUUCAUAGCGCGCGGGUGGGAACGCGGGGAAGUGAAACAUCUUAGUACCUGCUGGAGAAGAUAUUCCGUCAGUAGCGGCGAGCGAAGGCGGAGGAGCCUAAACCGUGUGCGUGUAUCAGCCGCCGGGCGGUGCGUGUGCGGUGUUGUGGGCAUGCUUGUGGCCGUGCCGGUGUGCGGCCGGGCAGUGAGAAACCGUCGGGGUAGGCGAAGGGUCUGGGAAGGCCCGCCGGAGUGGGUGAGAGCCCCGUAGCCGAAAUCGCGGCGGCUGUCUGAGUGUGUUCCUGAGUAGCACGGGGCUCGUGGAAUCUCGUGUGAAGGUGGCAAGACCACUUGUCAAGGCUGAAUACCCUUGGUGACCGAUAGUGGAUGAGUACCGUGAGGGAAAGGUGAAAAGUACCCCGGGAGGGGAGUGAAAGAGUGCCUGAAACCGGGCGCCUGCAAUCCGUCAGAGCCUUCGUUGUGGGGGUGAUGGCGUGCCUUUUGAAGAAUGAGCCUGCGAGUUAGGGGCGUGUGGCGAGGUUAACCCGUGUGGGGGAGCCGUAGCGAAAGCGAGUCUGAAAUAUGGCGGUCAGUCGCGCGUUCUAGACCCGAAGCGGGGUGAUCUACCCAUGUCCAGGGUGAAGCGCGUGUAAGAGCGUGUGGAGGCCCGGACCCACCGGGGUUGAAAACCCGGGGGAUGAGGUGUGGGUAGGGGUGAAAGGCCAAUCAAACUCCGUGAUAGCUGGUUCUCCCCGAAAUGCAUUUAGGUGCAGCGUUGCGUGGUUCUUUGCGGAGGUAGAGCGACUGGAUGGCUGAUGGGCCCCACCGGGUUACUGAGGUCAGCCAAACUCCGAAUGCCGCAAAGGGGUGAGCGUGGCAGUGAGACGGCGGGGGAUAAGCUUCGUCGUCGAGAGGGAAACAGCCCGGAUCGCCGGCUAAGGCCCCUAAGGGUGUGCUAAGUGGGAAAGGAUGUGUCGUUGCUGUGACAGCCAGGAGGUUGGCUUAGAAGCAGCCAUCCUUGAAAGAGUGCGUAAUAGCUCACUGGUCAAGUGGUGAUGCGCCGACAAUGUAGCGGGGCUCAAGCACACCGCCGAAGCCGCGGCGCCCUCCGUUGGGGGGUGGGUAGGGGAGCGUCCUGCGUGGGGGGAAGCCGUCGUGUGAGCGUCGGUGGACUGCGUGGGAGUGAGAAUGCAGGCAUGAGUAACGAGUGGCGGGUGAGAAUCCCGUCCGCCGAUUGACUAAGGGUUCCAGGGCCAGGUUGAUCCGCCCUGGGUUAGUCGGGUCCUAAGGCGAGGCCGUCAGGCGUAGUCGAUGGGCAACGGGUUGACAUUCCCGUACCGGACGGCGGCCGUCCGAUGUCUGCUGGGUGGGGCGUUGUCGUCCCUGUGCGUUGUUUCCGCGCCUUUCGGGGUGUGGGGGGCGUGCGGGCGCGGGGCGUGCCUGUCUGGUGUGGCAAGCGUGGUAACAGGUGUGACGCAGUGAGGUAGCCCGUCCGUGUCUUAUGGCUUGGCACGGCCAAGGGUGUGGCCCGCCGCCGAGGCAAAUCCCGGCGGCUUGUGGGUGAGGCCUGAUGGGGACCGUUGAUGGGAAGCGGGUGAUCCUGUGCUGCCGAGAAAAGCAUCGACGCGAGGCCGUUGUCCGCCCGUACCCGAAACCGACACAGGUGGUCAGGUAGAGUAUACCGAGGCGUUCGAGUGACUCGUGGUCAAGGAACUCGGCAAAAUGCCCCCGUAACUUCGGGAGAAGGGGGGCCCUGAGCGUGGUCCGUCCGUGCGGCGGGGAGCGUGUCGGGGCCGCAGAGUCCAGGGAGAAGCGACUGUUUAUCAAAAACACAGGUCCGUGCCAAGCCGCAAGGCGAUGUAUACGGACUGACGCCUGCCCGGUGCUGGAAGGUUAAGCGGACCGGUCAGCCCUCCGUGUGGGGGUGACGCCGGGAAGUUAAGCCCCAGUAAACGGCGGUGGUAACUAUAACCAUCCUAAGGUAGCGAAAUUCCUUGUCGGGUAAGUUCCGACCUGCACGAAUGGAGUAACGACUUCCCUACUGUCUCAACCAUGAACUCGGUGAAAUUGCAGUACGAGUAAAGAUGCUCGUUUCGCGCAGCAGGACGGAAAGACCCCGGGACCUUUACUGCAGCUUGGUAUGGGUGUUCGGCGCGGUUUGUGUAGGAUAGGUGGGAGACGGUGAUCCGGUCGCGCUAGCGGGCGGGGAGUCGCUGGUGAAAUACCACUCUGGCCGUGUUGGGCUCCUAACCUCGGCCCGUGAUCCGGGUCAGGGACAGUGCCUGGUGGGUAGUUUAACUGGGGCGGU